AAGUCGAUAAGACCAGGAGAAGUGAAGAUGUAACAUGUUAUCUGUCGCUCCUCUUAGCUGGCGGAGAGAAUUUACAUUUAAAGAUUAGCAGAGUGAGAAAGAGAAAUCUGCCUUUUGUUGUGUGGGGUGAGGAGGAGGCAUCUACCCUGGCCUUGACGCUAUCUCCCAUCACCUCUGCUACCCAGACAGGACUCACCGAGUAUCAAAUGAUAAGAACUGAGCACAUUGGAUGAAAUAAUACUUGCAUUGGGAGCACUAAGGUAGGCACUUCACAAGUAUUAUCUCCUCAUAUCAUCCUGGUAAGUUAGGUGUUAUUAUCUUACUUUGGAGAUUUAAAUCUGAAGCUUAGAGAGAUUAAGUGACUUGUCCAAGGUCAAAUAGCUGAUAAGUAAGUGUAAGAACUGAGAUUCCAGUCCAGCCAGAGUGUGUAUACAGUGGGCUUCUAAAUGGUCAGCGUGUACAGGCCAUGGUUAUUUAUAACACUUUAUUUUUUGAAAAUUAAAUUAUAUCUGCAACAGAGAAGAUAUUUAAGAGCUUCCUACCAUUUAAAUUGCCUGGUUUGUUAACUCAUUGGUCAUAUUGCAUUGUUGGUACUUAGUUAGUUGUCUACCUUCUGAUUAAUUUGUUUCUUAAAAAUAUUUGUAGGAUUUUGAAGUAAUGCCUUAUCCCAGGAGAAAGGGGCUUGAAGAAAGACCAGACCAUAUUCCAUUAUCAGUUAUUCCCUGUUUACUCAGCCAGUAUUUAGUGAAUGCCUUUUGUGUGCCAGGCACUGUUCUAGGCACUGGGUGUAAGCAUUGUUGAAUAAACAUGGCCAUGCUCUUGCAGCCCUGACAAUGGAAUGAGUAGAGUGCAUCAAUGUAGGGUCCAAAGGUGUAAGAAAUUAAAUGGGAUCUCAUGUCUGCAACAGCUGACACACUCAAUUGUGAGAUAACUCAAUGCAUAAAAAGCUUCUAGAGUGCACUUAUGCCUUAAAGGUUGUGUGGACUGUGCUACAGUUCCCAGUCACAGUGUCCUGCUGCUCAGUGUGGGACAAAGGGCUGGCUUCAUAGCCGUGAAUGCCCUGGGUGACUUCCAUGCUGCCCUAUCUCUAUAUAGCACCAGCGGGAAUGGGCUUCUGUGAACAGUACCUGGCAGGUAAAGGGUUGCAGAGCCUGAUAUAGACCCAAAGUGCUAUAGUAUAAAGAAGAGAAAAAGAUCACGGGCCCCAGAAGUAGCCAGGGAAAGGUUUGCCAAAGUCACGGGGAUUGAAUUGGGCUUUUGUGGCAUUUCAUUGAGUGGGAUUCAUUUGUUUUUCUUUUUAUUUGGGACUACUACAACUAUGUUCCUAGUCCAGUUCCAAAUGUGGAGGAUAGAGUAAUGAGCACCCCAGAUAAGACCCUAGCUCUCGCAGACCUUGCAGUUUGGGGGUGAGAGAGGGAGAAAGAUAAAAAAGAAGUUACUAAGAUUAUUUCAUGUAGUGUUAAAUAUAAUUAAGACAAUUAAGAAACAGUGUUAGAAUGAUGCAGGGGUUGGGAGGACAUGGUAGUGAGUCUUGAUUUCAAAUGGUUGGGGAAACCAUCUCUCAGGCGGUGACUCUUGAACUAAAGCCUGAGAGUUGAGGAAGAACUGGCCAUGCAGCAGUCUAUGGGCAGGGCCGUGAAGUCAGUGAACGAAGCCAUGAGCAUGAGAGGAAGCGUUCCGUCAGGGAGUUUAUCCAGUCAGAGAAGAGCUGCACUCUGGAAGGGCGUGGUUGGAGUGGAGGCUGAAAACUGUAGAUGAGUGCCAAGUGACGGAGGGUCUUAUAUGUGAGAUUAGGCAAGAAUAAGGACUGUGUGUUUCUGUGUGUGGAUCUAGGAGAUGAGUAGUUAGAAGAGAGAAGGAGAAUCUGGAUGAGUGUAUGCAUGGAAGCUUAAGGAAGCUUGUGAAAUCAGGAUAAUGACAUUUAGUUCACAUGCCCUGCAAUGAGGGGCACCCAAAUCACACAGUGUCUCAGUAGCUUCCUGUUGGAAGUUGAAUAUAGUCCUAAAGUGAAGCAUAUAUGGUGCUCUGUUGACUACUCCUUCAAAUUGAGAGACACAGAAUUGCCUACAAAGAAAUGGUGAAGCUUUGACAAAGAUAAGCUAUAAUCCAAUGCCAGGAACUGUACUUACCAAGGUAAUGUUUCCUAAGUCAGAUAUAAUAUAACAGAUUCCUUUUGUGGUGAUUCCCCUUGGAAACAAAAGCUAAUGGUACAUUUGUUCAUGUAAAAGAAUAGCUUUUAUGAUAUAAAAUGUUUCUGUGAAGGAAAAGAAAAGAGUUAGAGCUAAGGUUUGAUUCAACCCCGGUUGAUAGAUAAAAAGAAGUGUGUUUAAAUGCUCAUUUUUGGAAUAACCAUAUAUCAUUUACUAAAGGAAAAAAUGUCCCAAUGUUGAUAGAAUUCUCUAGAGAAACAUGUUUAGGCAGUGAAAGGAUUCCUGGCAGUGACUGAGAAAUACAGUAAUGGGGACUGCACUUGAUCUCUUUUGAGGUUGAUUCUGAUGUGUGUAGUCUUUACAUCCUAUUAAAUUUUUGAAAGAUAAACUGAUACAAGAAUGAUUUGCCAAGGCCAUAUGAGGUUAACUGAAUUCAAAUAGAAGGUUCUCUCAAGUUAUUGCAUUCCUUAGAAAAUAAAUACAUUGCGCAUAUGGUUAAGAUUGAUCAAAAAAGUAUUCUGUAUGCCAGUGAUUACAUUCCCAUCUGUGAUUAAGGUUUUCUGUCUGCAUCUGGUUUUCACAUUAUAUUUCUGUAACAAGAAUCCUUUAUAUAGCAGAGUUCACUUUCUGUAUUUUCUAUUAGCUGCAGCUUGAACUACUGCACGGAUCGCAGAUUUACACAUGUGGUUUUCAUUACUUCAUACCAUUGAGAAAAAGUAAUAUUUGUUUGGGAAUGUAUGUUUUCCACAAUUUCCAUGGUAAUACAACAUGUUGAGCCUUUUAAAUAACACUUGUAGAACUACAAAUUGUUUGAGGCAUUCUGCUCUUGGUGGAGCUUAGCUUUUAAACUUUUCUCAGUAUGUUCCCCUUGUAAUGAGGUUUUACAAAUUUGAGGGCUGAGCAUCCAGAUCUGAACAAAGCAAGUAUUAAAGAUAGAGAAAUUUUAUCAUUUCCGUGUGACAGAUUUCAGUGUGGAAUAGGUCUCAGAGAUACCUGAACAUCGUGCUUAUUACCAUUACUUAUUUUAUUAUUAUUUCAUAUUGGAAGGGCAUUUAAUGUGUUGGAGAUAUGAAGCACAAAUGUGACACUCCAGUCAUUAUUUUGAAAAAUCUAAAGAUUAGUUCUUUUUUUUUUUUUGAGUUACCCUAUUGAUUGUGAUAUAUUGUUUCAUAUAUAAAAUAGUUGUGGGGAAAAUCCUCAUAGGUAACUUUAGAUUGACAUUGUAUAUUGUUUGAAACUGUAUUUGUAUACUAUGUUAACAUUUAAGAAUUUAUAAAUAUGCACAUUUAAAAUAUUUUGUUGUCACCGUGUUCCUGCCAAUUUUCUUCAUUCACUUCAGAAAACUCUGAAUAAAAUAGAUACUACCAGUGAAGUUAAAAAAUAAAGUAGUAUAUUCCAAAUUGAGAGAUCAUUUUUAAUUGAGAAAUUUGUUUUGAAGUUUAUCACAUGGUAAUUUUAUGUGCCUCAAAACCAAGAUUACACCAUUUUUGUUAAACCCAGACAUUGGUCUGGUAUUUAGCAGUCAUGAGAAGGAAGAAAUAGACUUAGACUCUAGAGGAUUUGUAUAUGCUUUGCCUGGUUUGUUUGUUCAGUAGAGAUUAUUAACUAUGGCUCAUACAGGGGCAUGAUCCACUUUUGUCAGGCUCUCUGAUGGCUUUUGUUGAUGGUUGCUGAAGCACAAAAUAUUAUGAUUGAAUCUAAGAAGAGCAUACAUUUUCUUUUUUCCCAAUAUUUUUUAAGUCUCUCUAUAUAAAAUGUAUUUUACCUUUGUACAGAAACAUUGGAAAUAACAGAAUUGUGCAGAAAAAUUACCCAUAUUGCCAUCUUCCAGAAAUAAUCAUAUUUAACAUCUAGAUGUAUUUACUUUCAGUCUUCCCUUCUGUGUGCACCCUCCCCCACUCCACUAUUUGAGUACCUACAUAAUGGAUACGUGUACAUAUGUUUAUAUAUCUGGGUUAUAUUAUUGAAUUUUUUUGCUUUAUCAUUUGUUAAUGAAAUUGUUAGUAUUCACAGUAAGCUAAAUGUUUCCAAGAUCCAGCUGAUUGUCUUUGCUUACUGCAAGGCAAUUCCCAACGAAGAAAUAUCUAGUAAUGUAUUUUAAUUAAUCAGUACUUAUUUAAUUUUUUAACCUUAAAAAACAAGAAACAACUGAUUGCAUCACAAAAGAAUCAUAAUAUGGCACUUAAACUACUUUUUAAAAAAAAAAUAGAAUCUGCUUGUUUUAUUUACAUCAGAAUAUGUUCACCGAUUUUAAUUUCUAGGAAGUAAUUUGGUCUCAAAAAAUAGCAACAGCCUUAGUAAUUCCUUUUGAGACUGCUUUUAUAAAUCUUUCUUCCCUUGCAUUUGUUAAGUUCCUACCUUUUCCUACCUUAUAUGUGUAUGACUGUGCUAGACCCUUAUGUUUCCUGGUUGGUAAGAAUUAAAUACCAAUACUUCAUAGUAGUGAUAGUAGUGGUAGCAUUUUUAAUCAUAGUAGGUGAGGAAUAGACACUCAAUAAAUAUUGUGAAUGAACAAAUUCUAAAUUUGUCAAAUAUAGCAGAAAAAAUGAGAAAAUUUAUAUUAUUAAAAGGAAAAGAAUGGUGUAGAAGUUUGUUGAUUUGCUAAAAUAAUUCAACAAUAUUUGUUUUAGUAAUAUUUUUUAACUAUUACAUAAGGAUUAUUCUUCACUGUUGUUUUAAAUUAUGUGAGCUAAUGGCAAUAUUGAAAUUUCAGAACAGCAAAAACAGUAUUUGAAUAAUGAAACCAACCACUUUGUUUUGAAGCAGGAUUAACUUGUGUGUAAAAUUCCAUAAAUAAUAAUGUCUAAAUUGUUUUCUAAAGAAAACAUAAUAUCUGACAGAUUAUUAUUUUUUUUUGAAACAGGUAAAAUGUGACACAUUCUCUUAAGGUAUUGAUGUGCAUAUCUUUAAAACCAAUUUAAGAAAGAAGAGCUUUCAGGUUCAGAAUGUAUCCAGCUUUGAGUCAGAUGAUUGGAAAAUUAAGAGUCCUUUAGAAAAUGUCAUGAUAGGAACUGAGACAAUGGGGAUUGUUUUGGAUUCUUCUAAAAUUUAGAAGAGCUUGUAUCUGUUUUUUUGAAAACAAAACAAAACAAAACUGGCCUAGUGUUAUCAUGUAAACAGAUGGG